AGUGAACGCUGGCGGUAGGCCUAACACAUGCAAGUCGAACGGCAGCACAGUAAGAGCUUGCUCUUACGGGUGGCGAGUGGCGGACGGGUGAGGAAUACAUCGGAAUCUACUUUUUCGUGGGGGAUAACGUAGGGAAACUUACGCUAAUACCGCAUACGACCGACGGGUGAAAGCAGGGGAUCUUCGGACCUUGCGCGAUUGAAUGAGCCGAUGUCGGAUUAGCUAGUUGGCGGGGUAAAGGCCCACCAAGGCGACGAUCCGUAGCUGGUCUGAGAGGAUGAUCAGCCACACUGGAACUGAGACACGGUCCAGACUCCUACGGGAGGCAGCAGUGGGGAAUAUUGGACAAUGGGCGCAAGCCUGAUCCAGCCAUACCGCGUGGGUGAAGAAGGCCUUCGGGUUGUAAAGCCCUUUUGUUGGGAAAGAAAAGCAGCAGGUUAACACCCCGCUGUUCUGACGGUACCCAAAGAAUAAGCACCGGCUAACUUCGUG
rnacentral:rRNA from 1 species